rnacentral:rRNA from 1 species
UGGCGGACGGGUGAGUAACGCGUGGGUAACCUGCCUCACACUGGGGGACAACAGUUAGAAAUAGACUGCUAAUACCGCAUAAGCGCACAGGACCGCAUGGUCCGGUGUGAAAAACUCCGGUGGUGUGAGAUGGACCCGCGUUUGAUUAGCUAGUUGGUGGGGUAACGGCCUACCAAGGCGACGAUCAAUAGCCGACCUGAGAGGGUGACCGGCCACAUUGGGACUGAGACACGGCCCAA